rnacentral:sRNA from 1 species
GCAAGGAUGAUGGGAGUCACCAUUCCUCAA